UUGUCUCGCCUGUGCGAUGUGCCGUUGGCAAAGUAUCGCGAUUACUCAUUCGUCAAGUCGUCACCAAGUCUAAUUGGUAGUUGAAAAGUCACAUCGACAGUGCUUCAAAGCAAUAAUAAUACGCGAAAACGAUUGUCCGCCAAUCCGGGUGUAACACGUGCCUACGGAAUUGAUUAUCAUAACAGGGAUAACAAGUCUCGAAGAUGACGCUGACGAUGGUCUAAUAAAUACCAAAGAGCUUUUUAUACGCCUAUAA